rnacentral:lncRNA from 1 species
GAAGAAUCCAACUUUUGAUAGCAAAUGCUUAUGGAGAUUUCUGCUGCUAGUACAGCAGAUCCAUUCUUGGACUGUAAAGAUCAUACUUUUGCUAUCUGUGCUAUUGAUUCCUCUCUCCCUUCCUAAUUUCACCCCCUUUCAUCUUAGAUAUUUAGUGCAUCCACAGCAGAAAGGCUGUGAAACUCAACUAACUGGACUAGGAAAUGUUAGAAACACAGAGCACAAGAAGACUGGAGACCUGGCCAAGGAAUCUCAAAGCAGUCCUGCAACACUUACACAUGGAGCUAUGAAUAGUCUUACCACUGGGUGGAAUGUAAGUUGGUAUUAAAAUCUUUGGUAGGGGUGCCUGGGUGGCUCAGUGGGUUAAAGCCCCUGCCUUUGACUCAGGUCAUGAUCUCAGGGCCCUGGGAUCAAGCCCCACAUUGGGCUCUCUGCUCAGCGAGGAGCCUGCUUCCCCCUCUCUCUCUGCCUGCCUCUCUGCCUACUUGUGAUCUCUGUCUGUCAAAUAAAUAAAUAAAAUCUUUAAAAAAAAAUCUUUGAACUAAUAUGACAUUGUUUUGUAGAGCUAAACAUAUGUGU